rnacentral:rRNA from 1 species
GAACACAUACAAGUCGAGCGAUCCCUUUUUGGUAAAGCGGGGGACGGGGGAGUAACGCGGGGGAACGUCCCCUUCAUUACGGAAUAGCCCAUGGAAACGUGGAUUAAUACCGUAUACGCCCUUUGGGGGAAAGAAUUUCGGUGAAGGAUCGGCCCGCGUUUGAUUAGGUAGUUGGUGGGGUAAUGGCCUACCAAGCCGACGAUCAGUAGCUGGUUUUAGAGGAUGAUCAGCCACACUGGGACUGAGACACGGCCCAGACUCCUACGGGAGGCAGCAUCGCCCGCCGCGCCCAGC